rnacentral:rRNA from 1 species
UACGGAGGAUCCAAGCGUUAUCCGGAUUCAUUGGGUUUAAAGGGUGCGUAGGCGGAAUGAUAAGUCAGUGGUGAAAUCCUGCAGCUUAACUGCAGAACUGCCAUUGAUACUGUCAAUCUUGAGUACAUUUGAUGUGGGCGGAAUGUGUCAUGUAGCGGUGAAAUGCUUAGAUAUGACACAGAACACCGAUUGCGAAGGCAGCUCACAAAACUGUAACUGACGCUGAGGCACGAAAGCGUGGGUAUCAAAACAGG